AUCCACAUAACACAAAUAAAUUAAAACUUGUUUCCUUAUCUCUUGGGAUUCCUAAUUAGCAACUUAUCUUCUUCUCCGGAGCUCUUCCUGAAGUAAUGUCGUCCUUGUUUAACACAGUUCUAGCGCUUGUUGUGUUCUGCUUCAUCAAUAACUUUACUCAUUCUUGCUUUUCAUUUUCGAAUCAAUAUUCAAAAUUUCUUCCAUCCUUUUCUACUUCUUCUUUGUUUCAGCUAAGCUCUUCAGUGGACCUUACUCUUUGUCUUCCUCUUGAUAUCCCUUUCUUUAACCUUAGUUCUGAUACUCUGUUCUUGCAGGUGUAGCUGGUAUGAAGAAAUUGGGAUGCUUGAUCCCUCUAUGUCCAGCAGUGAUGAAGAUAUGUUCCAGGUGCUUCAAUACAAAUCUAACCAUAUGUUCCUCUUUUUUUCCUGCUGACAUUAUGCUAUCUCGUGGUGGGGAAAAGUAUCUCAUAACUUUUAUUGACAAUUGCAUUAGAAAUGGUUGUCUAUUUGCCGAAUCGUAAGGAUGAAGAAAUAGAAAUGUCUAGGCAAUAUAAUUUUGAAGUUGAAAAUCGGUUGGGAAAAAGAUAAAAAGUGAUAGGGAUGGAGAGUAUAAAUCUCAUUUUGCAGAAAUAUGUUCGGAAAGUGGGAUUAUCUAUCAAACUAUUGUCAUAUUCACCUUAAUCUAAUGGAGUUGUAGAACGAUUUUUUUUUUGAAGGAAAUGAUGGUUGCAUUACUUAUAAGUUUAGGUUUACCACAAAACUUGUUUGAAGAAGCUAUUCUUACAGCAAAAGGGAACAAAGAAAAGUUUUAUCUGUUCAGAAAGAAAGCAAUAAAAAGUUUUAUUUGUUCAAGACACAAUCUAUUCCAUAUGAGAAAUGGAAAGGAAGGAAAUCUAACUUGAAAUAUUUUAAAGUGUGGGGGUGUCUAGCCAAAUUCCAAGUUCCUAUCCCCAAAAGGAUCAAAAUAGUACCUAAGACUGUGGACUGUAAAAUUAGACUUGAGUAGUUUAGUGAAAGGUCUAAAAGACCUUGGAAAGAACCAAAGGAGAAUGUACUUAAUAAAGAGAUUUAGAGGCGCAGUAAAUGUCAAAGCACAUCUACUUCCUUCGGAUCUGAUUGUAACACCCCGAAAAUUUAGUAGGCUAAACUAGGGCUAAGUGUGUGGGGGUAACAAGCCAUGGUAGGGGCAAGAGCCUAUAGUGCCUAGAAAAUUUGAGGGAAAACAUUUCUCCUUGAUCCACUUGGCUAAGUGAAGUUCCAUCGCCAAAGUGACUUGGCGAUUAGCCACGUGGAGCCACCAUCGCCUAGUGGACAGCCCCUCUUGGCCAAGUUGCUGGAUAUUUGGGCGAGCCAAGGGGCUUGCCGUUCAGGUGGGCGCAUCGCCAAAGGGUCUUCCCCUAUCGCCAAAUGGACUGCCUCCAUCUGAAAAAUAACUUCAGAAAUUUAUUCUGGUUCACCCUAGAAUAGUUUAGAUAUACAUUGUAGAACUUCCCUUUGGAUUAAGAAUCUCUCAAUUUUAAAGCUCCUAGCUUGGGAUAUAUUUUUUUAUGAGAGCACAGAAAGUUGCAAAGCCAACCCAUAUGAUUUAGAAAUUAGGUUCAGAAAUUCAUUUUGAUUAAUCAAUGAGGAAUUUAUCUAUGAAUUUUUUAUAUGUUGCAGAUCGCUGAGGAUUUAAGAUACUGUAAAAUUCAGUGUCCUAGAAUUUGAAACAGUUCUAGCUCGGUAUAUUAAUUUCGCGGACAGAGCGCCCAAAGAUUGAAAGUCAAUACGACAGUAAUCUUGAUCAACAUAAUUUUUUUUAUUACAGCCGAUCCUUAUGGUAUUUGGAUCUGAGUUUUUUUCUAUAUAUGUCGCACACUUUGAAGUCUAGCUUCUACAAAAUGAAGUGGAUCCCAAUCUCAUUGCUCUUGCAUCUAGAGAUAAAUAUUUUAGUGAAGUUGUGCCGAGUUUAAAAUCUACAAAUAUUGAAGGAUGCUCCUUGUACAUUUAUGCCAGAGUUCAAAGGAUACACAUUAUGUACUUCUCUGAAAAAAAAGCACACACCAUGUAUCCUUCUGUCAAGCUGCAAAAAGGAUUCUCAAUGAAAUUGUUUUCCAUGUUGGAAGAAAGAUUUAUUCCACACCAAAAUAGAGAAUAAGGAGAUGGUUCGUGUUCUAUAUAAGAACUAAGGCAAGAAAAUAGAGUACUUUGUAUCUCUCAUCAAAAAUUCGAAAAUAUGAGUUAUUCCUAGUUUUCAAAGCCCCCACGAUGAUUUAACGAGGAUGCUCCGAGUGGUCUCCACCAAUACCAAAAAAAAGGUGGAAUCUCCAAGUGGUAUCUCGCCAAAGUCGCAAUGAAAAUUAAAGCAACAAAUUGUAUCAACCAAACCAUAAUGAAGGUAGAAAGUGCAACACCAAGUUGUUCCUUUCAAAAGCCUCGACUGAAAAGGAUCAAAUGGCUCAUAAUUUGGACACACCAAAUUCAAGACACAUACAAUCGGUGGGGGGGGGGGGGAGUACAAAAUUGGAUAGAUGUGCAAUCAACAUAAGAAAAUAAUUCAUAAAAAUCUAGAGUAAAGUUUUUUGUUAGUUAUAAUUAUCUUAUAUACCUCCGAGUCUAGUUACGAAAAAAUAAAGGAAUCAACAAAUACACAAUUUUGGACACCCCAACUGCGUGUUACGAAGGGCAAAACAAGACAUAGUUGUGAUCCAACUUCGAAGCAAUAUUUGUAUCAAGCCUUAAUUCUUAUGGAUGUGAUUUUAAUAUAUAUUCUAUUUCUUGGAGUCCUUUUUUCUAUUGAAAAAGUGUCUCAUGAUUUUGGCAUUCUACUUUAAGUUAUGAAUUUUCUACCACAGACGCACAAAGUUGAAGAGCCUAGGAAGGCAAAAUUGUGAGGUGACUUCAAUGCAAUAUCUCCACCAAUUCUUAACUCUGAUUGAUGUGAUUUUUGUGUUGAUCGUAGUUCUUGGAGUCCUCUUUAAUUUCUUGUGGAAUAAGAACCUUGUGAUUUUGGUACUCCUAAUAUGCGUUAUGAAUUUUAUACCAUCGACAUGCAAAGUUGAAGAGACGAGCAAGGAAGAAUUGUGAGCUGACUCUAAAGCAAUAUUUAUACCAAACCAUAAAGCAUUUUUCCAUGCUUUUUUGCAUAAAUUGUUGUUCUUGGAAUUUUCUUUCU
rnacentral:lncRNA from 1 species